GACCUAACAACCCACUCGCCCGAGGACUACCAGCACAAGCUAAAAACUCAAAAGACUUGACGGUGCUCUACCCUACCUAGAGGAGCCUGUCCUAUAAUCGAUACCCCACGAUCUACCCUACCUCUAUUAGCGCACACCAGCCUAUAUACCGCCGUCGAAAGUAUAUCCUGCAAAGGGCCUACAAUUAUCUCAAUAGCCCCCCACUAACACGUCAGGCCAGGGCAUAGCUGAUAUAGGAGGCAGAGAUGGGCUACAUUUUUCUGAAUGCAGAACAAACGAAAAAUAACAUGAAAUUCUGGUAUUUAAAGGGCGGUUUAGCAGUAAGUUGAAAAAGCAUGUUCACCUUAAACCCAGCACCAGAGCACGUACACACCGCCCGUUCACCCUAAAA
rnacentral:rRNA from 1 species